rnacentral:rRNA from 1 species
AUUGAACGCUGGCGGCAGGCUUAACACAUGCAAGUCGAACGAGUGGCGGACGGGUGAGUAAUGCUUGGGAAUCUAGCUUAUGGAGGGGGAUAACUACUGGAAACGGUAGCUAAUACCGCAUACCAUCGGAUGUGCCCAGAUGGGAUUGGCUAGUAGGUGGGGUAACGGCUCACCUAGGCGACGAUCCCUAGCCGGUCUGAGAGGAUGACCAGCAACACUGGAACUGAGCCACGGUCCAGCCUCCUACGGGAGGAAGCAGUGGGGAAUAUUGCACAUAGGGCGCAAGCCUGAUGCAGCCAUGCCGCGUGUUUGAAGAAGGCCUUCGGGGUGUAAAGUACUUUCAGCGAGGAGGCGUUACUCGCAGAAGAAGCACCGGCUAACUCCGUGCCAGCAGCCGCGGUAAUUC